AAAAUAGGACACCCCCAUUCUAGCAUGUAACCAUCUCCUAAAUAUUGAGCUCACUGCUGAACUGAGCACAGAGAUUUGGAGUCAAAUCUCUGCUCUUUGCAUUAUUUAUUUUGUCAUAAUGUUCAGUUUGGUUUUCAUUAUUUCUGGAGUUCUCGCCUGCCACAGAUGUUGGUUGGCAUUAAAGGAAAAAAUAUCAGAUAAAGAGAGUGAAAAGCUGGGGCAUUUGGUGAGCUGCUGUUUGCAUGUUUGAUAGCUAGGAAAGUGAGAAGGCUUUGGGGCCGUCUCACAGUCAGCAAGCAUGUGGGCACUGGGAGUUUAACUUUCUUCUUUCCCUCCCCUAUGUAAGAAGGGUCAGAAAUGAGUUUACAUUUUAAGCUAGGAGAGCAACCUCACAGGGAACAUCCACAGCGCAGGGCUUCAUGUGGUGGCUUAGCUUUUGUCCAGCAGGUUUCUUUCUCGUAUUUACUCACGCUAAACGAGAGGCAAGACCUGUUAUUCUGGCAGACCUCAGACUGUGCUAGGUAUUAAGACAGCAUCUGCAGAGAUUUUGUCACAAAGGGAAGUGUCAUUUAUAGAUGGUUUUAAUACCAGAAUUUUCUCUGGGGCAAGGGCAACGUUAAUUGUUUUGAUUCCAAAAUAAGUAUGCAAAAUAGCUAAAUGAAUAACGCUCUACGUGAGAAAGUUCACGUCCUUGUAUGCCAGCAAUGAAUUUGCCCCUGCAGCCUGUUUUCAUGUAGAAUUUUGGUGGAACUUCAUUAUUAACCUACUCUGAGUUGUAAGAAUUAAAAUAACUGAAAGCUGUUUGAUGCCUGUAAUCAAUGCUCUUGGGAGCACUUGGCACUCUCCUGAAAAAUGCUUCUGACCUAUUGCAUACAAAAGAAAUCUCUGGCCUUUAGAAAGAAAACGCAGCUGACAUUUCAAUAGGCUUGUAUCUAAUCAAGUGGCCUGUGUGCCUGUACAUCACUUUGAUAUUAAGUUUAUUUAGUAGCGAAUUUCAUUUGUUUUGUUUCAGAACAUACUCAAGUUUCAAAUCUGGACAAUAAAUAUUCCCACCUGUGGGGCUGUGAGGAAUAUAGGGUGGCCUUUUUGGUUCUCCAGCCUUAAUAUUUAAUCAGCUGGAGAGAAAAAUGUGAAAAGCCCCAGGUAGUACAAAACUAACUUUUAAUAACGAAAGGAAGAGAGCGGCGAUGCAUCGGAAUAGGCAGCAAUUGCAAGACAUUAUACUGCUGCAGCUACAGCCUGGAUUCCUCAUCUCUGACCCAGAGAUUUCCAUUUCCCAGAGGGAGACAAGCUGCGCCUCUCUGCAAACACCCUCUGAUGCUCGGUCUACAGAGAGGGUUAGUUAGCAACUGAUCUGACGGCUGAGAAAUGGAUAACAGGCAAGAAAAAUUAAAUGGUUCAGGGCUAUAAAUAGGCUAUGCUGGCAUGCCUAUCGCACAUAAAAACUGAAAAGAUUGAGUCCUAUUCUUACAGAUGUCAGAGGGAACAAGACUGAACCCUGCAGUAAAGAAUAGAGGGGCUAUUGUUCUGAAUGAAUUUCCCAACACACAAGCUGCUCAGAGGAUCUCUCUUUCCAAGUAAGCUCCUGGGCCUGCCUCAUUACAGCUUCAGUCUGGAAAACAGGCAAUUAAUUUUAAACAUGUGUCGUCUCCCUGACAUCAGGUUCAGCACGUUCAUAGGGACCGAGUAAAUGCAGCUUUCUCGGAGGGACAGUUACGCAGCUGCCAUGAACUGAUUUUCACACAAGGGGAAAAGAAAGCAAAGUGAUGAGCUGUAGGGCCAGUCCAUAUGUUUGUUUUCCUUUGCUGUUAGCCUGAGGAUGGUGUUUCAAAUCCACUCUGCGGACUGGGAGUGAUUUUGAGUGACCCAGAUCCCUCUGCUCAGGCUAAAGCAUCUCCAGCAUUUCUGGACAGCAGCAGGCCACAGGAAGGGCUGCUAGAGGAGAGUACUUCAGCAGGUGAGGGUCCCUUCUGGAUGCUUGGUCACUGGCGUGCACAAAUAUCUAACUUUAUUCCUAGGUAAUCUUGAGAGGCAGAUAGACCCGCAAUGGCUGGCAGGUGCAACAUCUGAGGAGUCUGUUGGCCAUCCAACGUUCAUCUGCCUCUGGGUGCUGUCUGUGAAUGCAAGGAUGAAUAUAACAAAAAAAUCUGAUGUUGUGCCGUCACGCAAGGAGAAAUUAUGAAUGCAGAAGACAAAGGCUGAAUCCAGACAUCCAUCCCUUGUUUUGUGAGGAGUUGAUACCCACCUCCUGAAACUGUGGCACAGACACAUUUCUAUUUCUGGUAUUUAUAUUGGUCCUCUUUGGUCAUAUGCAAAUAAUUAUGUCAGUGGCAGUUCCUGAAAAAUCUGUAUUUAAAAAUUCAGGAAGAUACCAAAUUAGAAAGUCAAAUAUGAAACCUACUAUCAUCAUGACCCAAUGCACACAAUACAGCUCUAAAUUACUGUUUUUUUUCCCUGUAUGCUUAAAUAACCAACUUCCCUGUCUAGAGCACUAAGAUGUGUUUCUCUGAGUUUGCUUACAGAAAUAGCUAAUGCUGUGAUUCUCUUUUUAUUUUUUAUUUUUUUUUCUGUGAAUUGUCUGUGGUUAAACUAUAUAAAACCUUCCUGGCUGAAACAUACAGUUCAGCUAAAGAAAUGAGUUGUUAUUGUCAACGAAGAUAGACAAAGAGACUGACUUGAUGUAAUAAAUUAUAAUUAAAACAUUCUAGAAAUUCUUAUCUUCUAGGAACAGCAAAAUGACCUAAAGCAUUCAAACAGGUAGGCUAUGAACACCGACUCACUUAAAUGCAGAAGAGCCAUUGUACAGGCACUCUUCAGUUCCCAAGACAGCUCUUCCAAAAGCCGAGAUGUCUUUUAACUCUCUUUGCUGGCUUUCAGACAAGGCUGAUAAAGAUAUUCUUGUCAAAGUCAGAGCUGGGCAGAGCGAUACCGCUCAGCCAUAUCCAGCUGAAGGCCAGCAACAGCUUUUCAGAUUAUGAAAUUGCUUUCAGUGGAGAUUUUGUUUGACGUUCAUGCCACGCAGAUUAGCAGCACCGAUACACUCUGUCUGCCUCAGCAGUUAGUGAAGAGAAAAUAAAAUGAAUGAGGAAGAUAACUAGCUUUUCAAAAUUAAUCAAAUUUAAUAAAAAGAAUUAUAUGCAGUCCACAAUAGUUCUCAGAGGACGUAGCAUUUUCUCCAUUCCUUCAUGUAAAUGGACAAAAAAAAAGGAAAAAAUUCCUAUGAUGCCAUACUUGCUACCUUCUAGCUAUUUGUUAUUUUGGGGCAAGACAAACAAGGGUCCUUUAUAGGAUGACAGAGUGCCUGCCUUGUGUCAGUGGGAGGCAGCAGGGCUCAGCUGUGCCAGCAGCAAGUGCAUCCUCAGCUGGUCCCCACCUCCAAAUGGCUUCGUAUGGCCACUGCUGCCACUGCAGGAGAGGUGUGGAUGUGUGGACACCCAUUGCCCUUACGCCACAUACGAGGUGCUUUAAAGUAGCAAGAGUAGAAAUAGGGCUUUCUUCUUGGCUCUUGGCUCUCCCUUUGUGCAAUAGGAGAAAACUCUUUCUCAGCUUCCCCUCUCUAUUUCUGCUCAAAAGUAGAAAAGUAAUGUUUUUCAUGGAAUGGUGGAAGGUCCUGUCUCAGGGGAGAGGAGGAAAAGGAUGGCAGCUCCUCAGUGGGAAAAGCAAGCUGGGGAGGAUGAGAGAGAUUCCCAUCCAUAGGCCUCUGCUACCUCCACCAGUCCCUCCUGGGAUCACUGAGCCCUCCCACCUUCUUCCUAGCAAUUCCUUCUCAGGGACACUUGAUUCUUAUUGAAUGAUUCCUGAACUCUUAUUUUGCUUUUACUGCUGAUCUAUGCCAGAUCUGUUUCAGCUCACUAAUGGACUGCAGAGGCCAAGGAUGAAGAUGAAUACCCAGCAAAACCAGGGGACAGAGCAUCAGCAGUCAAAGCAGAGAUCUCAGCUGCAGAAGGGAGUCCUAACAAAGUCCCAGCAUCAUCACCUUGUGAGCCAAUUUAACUGCACCAGCCUGAAGUAUACAUUCAUCAGAUCUGCACUUAGAUGGUUUUGGUGCAGGAACCUUCUAAUUAAAAUCUACAAGAUGGCUAGUGUAAUAAACAAUUUAAUGAGUAGGUGGCAGUCUUUACCCUGAACCCCUCUUGAACCGUGACUCAGAAAGUGCAGAAGUGGUGUGCAGUAGAGUAAGUGGGGCGUGUUCAUCAGCAGCAUGCUCCCCAUCAUUGUCAGGAAAUACACUUCACUUGGACACAGGCUUGUCCAUAAGCUCAGUAAAGCUGGCACCUUGGUAAGAUGGUACUCUGUAGGCCAGCUGCAAAUGCAGCUCUCUCUCUAACUCUCCGUGCCAAGAAGAGACAACUGCCCAGACUGGGUCUAACUUUGCAUAUGUAGUUUGCUCACCAAGCAGAGGAAUGGAGAUGAUCAAUUUUCUCUUCACAAAUCAGAUGAAUAAUUAAGAGAACCUCUCUUAAUACAUCGUGUUCUUAUAAAAUGCAUAAGCUGAAUCCUCUUCCAUUGUCAUCUGGCUUCAGUUGAUUUCUGCAACGAAGUGUAUGUAUUUCAUAUAAGCAUAAAUAAAUAAAUGUGGUCCCUAUUGA